rnacentral:rRNA from 1 species
UACGAAGGGGGCUAGCGUUGCUCGGAAUCACUGGGCGUAAAGGGUGCGUAGGCGGGUUUCUAAGUCAGAGGUGAAAUCCUGGAGCUCAACUCCAGAACCGCCUUUGAUACUGGAAGUCUUGAGUAUGGGAGAGGUGAGUGGAACUGCGAGUGUAGAGGUGAAAUUCGUAGAUAUUCGCAAGAACACCAGUGGCGAAGGCGGCUCACUGGCCCAUUACUGACGCUGAGGCACGAAAGCGUGGGGAGCAAACAGG